rnacentral:tRNA from 4 species
GCACCCGUAGCUCAAUUGGAUAGAGCGCCUGACUACGGAUCAGGAGGUUGGGAGUUCGACUCUCUCCGGGUGUGCCA